ensembl:snoRNA LOC120102736 small nucleolar RNA SNORA17
UGUGCCACACAUGUGUCAGUAGGUGGCAUAAAAGAGAGAGGAUGUGUCUCUGAUCAGUAUUCUGACAUAUCUGAAUUACUAGUAGUCUAGCAUU